UACGUAGGGGGCAAGCGUUGGUCCGGAAUCAUUGGGCGUAAAGAGCGUGUAGGCGGCUCGGUAAGUCCGCUCUGAAAGCCCGGGGCUCAACCCCGGGAGGCGGGCGGAUACUGUCGAGCUAGAGUCCGGAAGAGGCGAGUGGAAUUCCUGGUGUAGCGGUGAAAUGCGCAGAUAUCAGGAGGAACACCAAUGGCGAAGGCAGCUCGCUGGGACGGUACUGACGCUGAGACGCGAAAGCGUGGGGAGCAAACAGG
rnacentral:rRNA from 1 species